GACGAAGGUGGCGAGCGUUGUUCGGAAUCACUGGGCAUAAAGCGCACGUAGGCGGUGGCGUAAGUCGGGUGUGAAAUCCCUCGGCCCAACCGAGGAACUGCGCCCGAUACUGCGUUGCUUGAGGACCAAAGGGGUGCAUGGAAUUUCCGGUGUAGCGGUGAAAUGCGUAGAUAUCGGAAGGAACAUCAGUGGCGAAAGCGGCUUCCUGGACCAGUACCGACGUUCAGGCACGAAAGCGUGGGGAGCAAACAGG
rnacentral:rRNA from 1 species